rnacentral:rRNA from 1 species
CCCUAUGGGGUGCAGCAGGCUCAUGAAGCUCAGGUCAAGCCCGAGCGCUUUCAUAACGCCCCAAUACAAGCCGCCUUCGAAGAUCCAGACCAGCAUCGAGAGUGCCAGCACCAACAGCGAUUGCCCCGGGGAACGCAGCACGCGCAACCCGUCGAUGAAUUUAUCGAGGAUGCCGCUUACUUUGGCACGCAGUUUUUGGGGCAACAAUUUGUUGAUGAACCAGCCGCUGACGGCCGGGGUUUGCUUCGGCAGGAAGACCAUCGCCAAAAAGACCAGCAGGAUCACUGCGAAGAUCCCACCCACCAGGAUUGGGCCGGUUUGAAUGCGCUGCAUCCACUGGGCAUCCGGCGCAAUUCGCACCAGUUGGCGGAAGUUGAGAAGCACCAAAGCCAGGAUGGUGAUACCGUCGAACAGGCGCUCAACCACGAUGGUUGCCAGGGAGC